CUGGGCUGUGAGGCUUUCCUAUCUGUGUUUCCUGCUUUCCAGUUUAUCAUCAUGAAGCUCUUGGUGGUUCUGACACUGGUGGGAUUUUCCAGCUUCCUGGUUUCUGGCCAGAAUAUAACAGCUACUCCACUGGACCCCUCCACUGAUGCUGUCACCUCGAUCUCUCAGGAUCCUGUCACAAGUGCUACUACCGUGACCUCUGCCACCAGGACUACUGAUGGUUGUUGGUUUAUAUUCAGUGUCUUUGGGUGGAUUAAGAUAGGUGUGUGCUAGGCGAUAUCAUUGUGAAGGAAUCAGCCAAGGCCUUCUGCAUUUAACCCAUUGGAGUGGGCCAAAUUGUCCCUUGAUUUGUCUUGAUGGAACUACUUUCCAACCCAACCCUACCAUGUCUCUCUUACUUUGGAUCAAUUCACCUGCUUUCAAAUAAAAAUGAUCAGUGAGCAACAUCCAAAAGA
rnacentral:lncRNA from 1 species